UUGCUGCUGCCAUUAGCUGAAAUCUCAAGGCUUCACUUCUAGUCCUUUCCUAAGACAAGCCCUAUGACUCAACCUGAAGAUUAAGGCAGUGGAGAGACAAAGAACCAUAGGAAUGAGUGAGAGGGGUGACAGAAAGUGAUGAAAGUUACAUUUUGAAAGGAUUAAUUGACUGCAGUGUGAUGUCUGGAUGGAAAGCCCCAAAAAGCAGUUGAAGUGGGGCCUCAGGUCACGCUCAGUGUCUUCAGCUAAUACCGAAACCUGGAAUUGUGGUGAACGCCCUCAUCUAGGCUAGCAUAUCCCUGACUUUGUAAAUUAA